rnacentral:rRNA from 1 species
GGUUGACCUCGGAUCAGGAAAU